GUCUUCUAGCGAAGCAACUUCCAUGCGUGCUUACCUCUUCAUUUACGUAGCAAGGCUUAAUUUAGUGUUGCUCGUAUUGUGGGUUUACUGUGUUGCGUACCUAAUCGAAGGCAUUGUAUGGACCGAAUGAAUAUGUAUCCGUCAUGCAUCGCACAAGUGGUGCAUGAUGGACCGGUAAGUGGUCUUAGUAAUCCAUCUUGUCGUUGUGUACACAUCGGCGAUGUGGCUUGCUGAGUUUCGCUUGGUGUCUUGGAUAUGGAACCUAAUGUGGGCAUGGGUCUUAAAUGAUCUUUUUAUGUCCUUGUUUAGCGUUCUCGCUUCUCUAAAACGAUCACUCGUCGCGUGUUGGCUAGUCCAUGCGUGGCGGGUUGCGUCGAAGAGGAAUGCUACC
rnacentral:misc_RNA from 1 species